rnacentral:rRNA from 1 species
UACGUAGGCAGCGAGCGUUGUUCGGAGUUACUGGGCGUAAAGGGUGUGUAGGCGGUUCUCUAAGUUUGGUGUGAAAUCUCCCGGCUCAACCGGGAGGGUGCGCCGAAAACUGGGGGACUAGAGUGCGGGGAUGGGAGAGUAGAAUUCCUGGUGUAGCGGUGAAAUGCGCAGAUAUCAGGAGGAACACCAAUGGCGAAGGCAGCACUCUGGGACGGUACUGACGCUGAGACGCGAAAGCGUGGGGAGCAAACAGG